rnacentral:tRNA from 41 species
GGGAUUGUAGUUCAAUUGGUGAGAGCACCGCCCUGUCAAGGCGGAAGCUGCGGGUUCGAGCCCCGUCAGUCCCG